rnacentral:rRNA from 1 species
CCUACGGGGGGCUGCAGUGAGGAAUAUUGGUCAAUGGACGAGAGUCUGAACCAGCCAAGUAGCGUGAAGGAUGACUGCCCUAUGGGUUGUAAACUUCUUUUAUAUGGGAAUAAAAUGUUCCACGUGUGGGAUUUUGUAUGUACCAUAUGAAUAAGGAUCGGCUAACUCCGUGCCAGCAGCCGCGGUAAUACGGGGGAUCCGAGCGUUAUCCGGAUUUAUUGGGUUUAAAGGGAGCGUAGGUGGAUUGUUAAGUCAGUUGUGAAAGUUUGCGGCUCAACCGUAAAAUUGCAGUUGAAACUGGCAGUCUUGAGUACAGUAGAGGUGGGCGGAAUUCGUGGUGUAGCGGUGAAAUGCUUAGAUAUCACGAAGAACUCCGAUUGCGAAGGCAGUUCACUGGACUGCAACUGACACUGAGGCUCGAAAGUGUGGGUAUCAAACAGGAUUAGAUACCCUUGUAGUC